rnacentral:rRNA from 1 species
GGGUUGUGAGGUUAAGCGACUAAGCGUACACGGUGGAUGCCCUGGCAGUCAGAGGCGAUGAAGGACGUGCUAAUCUGCGAUAAGCGUCGGUAAGGUGAUAUGAACCGUUAUAACCGGCGAUUUCCGAAUGGGGAAACCCAGUGUGUUUCGACACACUAUCAUUAACUGAAUCCAUAGGUUAAUGAGGCGAACCGGGGGAACUGAAACAUCUAAGUACCCCGAGGAAAAGAAAUCAACCGAGAUUCCCCCAGUAGCGGCGAGCGAACGGGGAGCAGCCCAGAGUCUGAAUCAGUGUGUGUGUUAGUGGAAGCGUCUGGAAAGGCGCGCGAUACAGGGUGACAGCCCCGUACACAAAAAUGCACAUAUUGUGAGCUCGAUGAGUAGGGCGGGACACGUGGUAUCCUGUCUGAAUAUGGGGGGACCAUCCUCCAAGGCUAAAUACUCCUGACUGACCGAUAGUGAACCAGUACCGUGAGGGAAAGGCGAAAAGAACCCCGGCGAGGGGAGUGAAAAAGAACCUGAAACCGUGUACGUACAAGCAGUGGGAGCACGCUUAGGCGUGUGACUGCGUACCUUUUGUAUAAUGGGUCAGCGACUUAUAUUCUGUAGCAAGGUUAACCGAAUAGGGGAGCCGAAGGGAAACCGAGUCUUAACUGGGCGUUAAGUUGCAGGGUAUAGACCCGAAACCCGGUGAUCUAGCCAUGGGCAGGUUGAAGGUUGGGUAACACUAACUGGAGGACCGAACCGACUAAUGUUGAAAAAUUAGCGGAUGACUUGUGGCUGGGGGUGAAAGGCCAAUCAAACCGGGAGAUAGCUGGUUCUCCCCGAAAGCUAUUUAGGUAGCGCCUCGUGAAUUCAUCUCCGGGGGUAGAGCACUGUUUCGGCAAGGGGGUCAUCCCGACUUACCAACCCGAUGCAAACUGCGAAUACCGGAGAAUGUUAUCACGGGAGACACACGGCGGGUGCUAACGUCCGUCGUGAAGAGGGAAACAACCCAGACCGCCAGCUAAGGUCCCAAAGUCAUGGUUAAGUGGGAAACGAUGUGGGAAGGCCCAGACAGCCAGGAUGUUGGCUUAGAAGCAGCCAUCAUUUAAAGAAAGCGUAAUAGCUCACUGGUCGAGUCGGCCUGCGCGGAAGAUGUAACGGGGCUAAACCAUGCACCGAAGCUGCGGCAGCGACGCUUAUGCGUUGUUGGGUAGGGGAGCGUUCUGUAAGCCUGUGAAGGUGUGCUGUGAGGCAUGCUGGAGGUAUCAGAAGUGCGAAUGCUGACAUAAGUAACGAUAAAGCGGGUGAAAAGCCCGCUCGCCGGAAGACCAAGGGUUCCUGUCCAACGUUAAUCGGGGCAGGGUGAGUCGACCCCUAAGGCGAGGCCGAAAGGCGUAGUCGAUGGGAAACAGGUUAAUAUUCCUGUACUUGGUGUUACUGCGAAGGGGGGACGGAGAAGGCUAUGUUGGCCGGGCGACGGUUGUCCCGGUUUAAGCGUGUAGGCUGGUUUUCCAGGCAAAUCCGGAAAAUCAAGGCUGAGGCGUGAUGACGAGGCACUACGGUGCUGAAGCAACAAAUGCCCUGCUUCCAGGAAAAGCCUCUAAGCAUCAGGUAACAUCAAAUCGUACCCCAAACCGACACAGGUGGUCAGGUAGAGAAUACCAAGGCGCUUGAGAGAACUCGGGUGAAGGAACUAGGCAAAAUGGUGCCGUAACUUCGGGAGAAGGCACGCUGAUAUGUAGGUGAAGUCCCUCGCGGAUGGAGCUGAAAUCAGUCGAAGAUACCAGCUGGCUGCAACUGUUUAUUAAAAACACAGCACUGUGCAAACACGAAAGUGGACGUAUACGGUGUGACGCCUGCCCGGUGCCGGAAGGUUAAUUGAUGGGGUCAGCGCAAGCGAAGCUCUUGAUCGAAGCCCCGGUAAACGGCGGCCGUAACUAUAACGGUCCUAAGGUAGCGAAAUUCCUUGUCGGGUAAGUUCCGACCUGCACGAAUGGCGUAAUGAUGGCCAGGCUGUCUCCACCCGAGACUCAGUGAAAUUGAACUCGCUGUGAAGAUGCAGUGUACCCGCGGCAAGACGGAAAGACCCCGUGAACCUUUACUAUAGCUUGACACUGAACAUUGAGCCUUGAUGUGUAGGAUAGGUGGGAGGCUUGGAAGUGUGGACGCCAGUCUGCAUGGAGCCGACCUUGAAAUACCACCCUUUAAUGUUUGAUGUUCUAACGUUGACCCGUAAUCCGGGUUGCGGACAGUGUCUGGUGGGUAGUUUGACUGGGGCGGUCUCCUCCUAAAGAGUAACGGAGGAGCACGAAGGUUGGCUAAUCCUGGUCGGACAUCAGGAGGUUAGUGCAAUGGCAUAAGCCAGCUUGACUGCGAGCGUGACGGCGCGAGCAGGUGCGAAAGCAGGUCAUAGUGAUCCGGUGGUUCUGAAUGGAAGGGCCAUCGCUCAACGGAUAAAAGGUACUCCGGGGAUAACAGGCUGAUACCGCCCAAGAGUUCAUAUCGACGGCGGUGUUUGGCACCUCGAUGUCGGCUCAUCACAUCCUGGGGCUGAAGUAGGUCCCAAGGGUAUGGCUGUUCGCCAUUUAAAGUGGUACGCGAGCUGGGUUUAGAACGUCGUGAGACAGUUCGGUCCCUAUCUGCCGUGGGCGCUGGAGAACUGAGGGGGGCUGCUCCUAGUACGAGAGGACCGGAGUGGACGCAUCACUGGUGUUCGGGUUGUCAUGCCAAUGGCACUGCCCGGUAGCUAAAUGCGGAAGAGAUAAGUGCUGAAAGCAUCUAAGCACGAAACUUGCCCCGAGAUGAGUUCUCCCUGACCCUUUAAGGGUCCUGAAGGAACGUUGAAGACGACGACGUUGAUAGGCCGGGUGUGUAAGCGCAGCGAUGCGUUGAGCUAACCGGUACUAAUGAACCGUGAGGCUUAACCUUACAACGCCGAAGCUGUU